rnacentral:rRNA from 1 species
UACGUAGGGGGCGAGCAUUGUCCGGAGUUACUGGGCGUAAAGCGCUUGUAGGCGGUCCACCAAGUUUGGGGUGACAGUUGCCGACUUAAUCGGCAAAGUGCCUCAAAGACUGGCGGACUUGAGGGCCACAGAGGGACAUGGAACUCCAGGUGUAGUGGUGAAAUGCGUAGAUAUCUGGAAGAACACCAAAGGCGAAGGCAGUGUCCUGGGUGGUCGCUGACGCUGAGAGGCGAAAGCCAGGGGAGCGAACGGG